rnacentral:rRNA from 1 species
AUUGAACGCUGGCGGCAUGCCUUACACAUGCAAGUCGAACGGCAGCACGGGAGCAAUCCUGGUGGCGAGUGGCGAACGGGUGAGUAAUAUAUCGGAACGUGCCCAGUCGUGGGGGAUAACGCAGCGAAAGCUGUGCUAAUACCGCAUACGAUCUAUGGAUGAAAGCGGGGGAUCGCAAGACCUCGCGCGAUUGGAGCGGCCGAUAUCAGAUUAGCUAGUUGGUGGGGUAAAGGCCCACCAAGGCGACGAUCUGUAGCUGGUCUGAGAGGACGACCAGCCACACUGGAACUGAGACACGGUCCAGACUCCUACGGGAGGCAGCAGUGGGGAAUUUUGGACAAUGGGCGCAAGCCUGAUCCAGCAAUGCCGCGUGCAGGAUGAAGGCCUUCGGGUUGUAAACUGCUUUUGUACGGAACGAAACGGCCCUUUCUAAUACGGGGGGCUAAUGACGGUACCGUAAGAAUAAGCACCGGCUAACUACGUGCCAGCCGCCGCGGUAAGAC